rnacentral:hammerhead_ribozyme from 1 species
AUCCAUCUGUCAAGUCCCAAACAGGACGAAACGCGCGUCAAACUGGAU